rnacentral:rRNA from 1 species
AGAGUUUGAUCCUGGCUCAGGAUGAACGCUAGCGGCAGGCUUAACACAUGCAAGUCGAGGGGCAGCAUUGGUGUUAGCAAUAACAUCAGAUGGCGACCGGCGCAAGGGUGCGUAACGCGUGAGCAACUUGCCCUUAUCAGGGGGAUAACCGUUGGAAACGACGACUAAUACCCCAUGGCAUCAUAUGGAGGCAUCUCCGUAUGAUUAAAGAGUUUCGGAUAAGGAUAGGCUCGCGUGACAUUAGCUGGAUGGCGGGGUAACGGCCCACCAUGGCGACGAUGUCUAGGGGUUCUGAGAGGAAGGUCCCCCACACUGGAACUGAGACACGGUCCAGACUCCUACGGGAGGCAGCAGUGAGGAAUAUUGGUCAAUGGUCGAAGGACUGAACCAGCCAUGCCGCGUGAAGGUGACGGCCCUAUGGGUCUUAAACUUCUUUUGCAAGGGAGCAAUAAGCGCCACGUGUGGUGCGAUGAGAGUACCUUGCGAAUAAGCAUCGGCUAACUCCGUGCCAGCAGCCGCGGUAAUACGGGGGAUGCGAGCGUUAUCCGGAUUUAUUGGGUUUAAAGGGUGCGUAGGCGGCCUGUUAAGUCAGCGGUGAAAAGUCUGGGCUCAACCCGGAUCGUGCCGUUGAUACUGGCGAGCUUGAAUGCGGAUGCCGUGGGAGGAAUGUGUGGUGUAGCGGUGAAAUGCAUAGAUAUCACACAGAACACCGAUUGCGAAGGCAUCUCACGAAUCCGCUAUUGACGCUGAUGCACGAAAGCGUGGGGAUCAAACAGGAUUAGAUACCCUGGUAGUCCACGCUGUAAACGAUGAUGACUAACCGUCGGCGAUACACAGUCGGUGGCCAAGCGAAAGCGAUAAGUCAUCCACCUGGGGAGUACGACCGCAAGGUUGAAACUCAAAGGAAUUGACGGGGGCCCGCACAAGCGGAGGAACAUGUGGUUUAAUUCGAUGAUACGCGAGGAACCUUACCCGGGCUUAAAUUGCAGAGGACAGGCUGAGAGAUCAGCUCUUCUUCGGACCUCUGUGAAGGUGCUGCAUGGUUGUCGUCAGCUCGUGCCGUGAGGUGUCGGCUUAAGUGCCAUAACGAGCGCAACCCUUGCCGGUAGUUACCAUCAGGUCAUGCUGGGGACUCUACCGGGACUGCCAUCGUAAGAUGUAAGGAAGGUGGGGAUGACGUCAAAUCAGCACGGCCCUUACGUCCGGGGCUACACACGUGUUACAAUGGGAGGUACAGAAGGCCGCUACCCGGCGACGGGAUGCCAAUCCCCAAAACCUCUCUCAGUUCGGAUUGGAGUCUGCAACCCGACUCCAUGAAGCUGGAUUCGCUAGUAAUCGCGCAUCAGCCACGGCGCGGUGAAUACGUUCCCGGGCCUUGUACACACCGCCCGUCAAGCCAUGAAAGCCGGGGGUACCUGAAGUGCGUGACCGUGAGGAGCGCCCUAGGGUAAAACUGGUGAUUGGGGCUAAGUCGUAACAAGGUAACCGU